UACGGGGGGUGCGAGCGUUGUCCGGAUUCACUGGGCGUAAAGGGCGCGUAGGCGGCCAGGUCAGUCCGGUCUGUAAGCGCGGGGCUCACCCCCGUGUCGGGCCGGGGACGGCGUGGCUGGGGCGCGGCAGAGGGGGACGGAAUGCCGGGUGUAGUGGUGAAAUGCGUAGAGAUCCGGCGGAACACCGGUGGCGCAGGCGGUCCCCUGGGCCGAGGCCGACGCUGGGGCGCGGAGAGCGCCGGGGAGCGGAACCGGG
rnacentral:rRNA from 1 species